GAGCUUGCUCCUCUGAUUUAGCGGCGGACGGGUGAGUAACACGUGGGUAACCUGCCUGUAAGAUGGGGAUAACUCCGGGAAACCGGGGCUAAUACCGAAUAAUAAAAGAGGAAGCAUUUCUUCUUUUUGAAAGUUGGUUUCGGCUAACACUUACAGAUGGGCCCGCGGCGCAUUAGCUAGUUGGUGAGGUAACGGCUCACCAAGGCGACGAUGCGUAGCCGACCUGAGAGGGUGAUCGGCCACACUGGGACUGAGACACGGCCCAGACUCCUACGGGAGGCAGCAGUAGGGAAUCUUCGGCAAUGGGCGAAAGCCUGACCGAGCAACGCCGCGUGAGCGAGGAAGGCCUUCGGGUCGUAAAGCUCUGUUGUCAGGGAAGAACAAGUACGAGAGUAACUGCUCGUACCUUGACGGUACCUGACCAGAAAGCCACGGCUAACUACGUGCCAGCAGCCGCGGUAAUACGUAGGUGGCAAGCGUUAUCCGGAAUUAUUGGGCGUAAAGCGCGCGCAGGCGGUCUCUUAAGUCUGAUGUGAAAGCCCACGGCUCAACCGUGGAGGGUCAUUGGAAACUGGGAGACUUGAGUGCAGGAGAGAAAAGUGGAAUUCCACGUGUAGCGGUGAAAUGCGUAGAGAUGUGGAGGAACACCA
rnacentral:rRNA from 1 species